rnacentral:lncRNA from 1 species
CCAUACAUUACCGGCCAGAGGCAGAGAGCAGUGCCUUGUGGAGCCAGGAAGGGCCUACUGAUGGUCACAAAAAUGUCUUUCCACCUGGCGCCUGUGUGCUACUCUGACGGUGUUGUCUGAAUUAUGGACACAAGGCCCAAGUCUGCUUGAGUUUCCCUUGGAAAUUUUGGACUCCCUGGUGAUGACUCCAAGAUUCAUUAAAAAGAAUGGAAAUUUGGUAGUAGGGAGAGAUUUUACCUUGGAGGUGAUGCCUGCAAACAUUUCUAGCCAUUGCAGAGGCACCAGCACCCUGAGCAGCGCUGCCAAGCUCCUUCCGCCAGGACUAAACUCAGCAUCGCACCAACAAGCCACCGUCGCUUUGAACUGUCUGUGAGCGUCUGUGCUUGGUCUCCAUUUAUUUUGGUGUCAGAUAAGGUAAACUAUUAUAUGGCAAUGAAAAGAAAGACAAACCCAUGCUCCGUAAAUGAUGUUCAACUGUUGGGAUUAAUUUCUCAGCCGAACAGCAUCUUCAGGACAUCCCUGGGCGGAGAGACACAGAGAACACAAGAGAGUCGUUAUUUUUAAAGUUAACAAAGAAAAAAUGAUUUUGAAUCCUUGCUUAAUUAAAAAUGGAACAGUACAAGAGGGUGACUCACUUCUCCCGUAAGAAGCUGAAAAUUAAAA